UCGAUCCCAGGACCCUGGGAUCAUGACCUGAGCCAAAGGCAGAGGCUUAACCAACUGAGCCACCCAGGCGUCCCCUGAGCACUCACAUUUUGUUAGCUGCUCUUGUAUUUGUUGUGUAUGUAAUAACGUGAGGCUGGAGCUUUGACAAUUCUCUAGGGCUUUCAUUGCUCGGUUAACUCAUUUGUACAAUGGAGGAGGGGAGAGGCUGUACUAGCUAGCCACCAAGGCCCUUUCCCCACUCUAACAUUCCCCAGGUCCCCAGUUAUUAUUUAUUAUGUAUUCAUUUGUUAUUUGUUAUGUAAAAGCAUGACAGUAUCCUGAAGCCAUCGAAGGCUGUGUGACGGUGGAAGGUCUGGGACAAAUUUAAGAAGAGCGAGAACCUAAAUUGGUAAUAAAUCAAUAAGAAACAAAUGUUUACAUUCACUCAGUGAAAAGUAUCAUGUCUAAGCUCAACAUCUAUCGGAGCCACACAUGGACACCUCUCUCUCCUCCACUAAGAGCAGAAAAUGAACAGAUCCGAGGUGAGCUUUUUGUUUGUUUAUUUCCACUUUGUUUGAAAAUGAG